GGGUGACGGUGGCGCGGGCUGUAGACUCUGGACGGACGGACGACGACGCGCUUUGGCGUGAGGGGCCGCGUGCGGUGGACAAGGACGAUGAGGACAUGGGGCAGAGCAGGGCGUGAGGGCGACGGCGCGACGCUGCAAAUGCCCAAAGACCGGAUGCGCCCUGGAUGGCGGAAGCAAGGGGAGCCAUCUCCAAACGUCCAAAAGACCUGGGGCACUUUGCUGGCGAGCGACGGAGCAGAGAGCAGAGAGCAGAGAGCAGAGCAGGAUCGCCAUUCGCUGCCGCUGGUGCGCGUGAGGAUCGGAAGGGGGUGUCGUCAGUUGCAUAAUAGCACCCACAGUCAGGGGAUCGCGGGAGC
rnacentral:lncRNA from 1 species